UUGGGAGUUAUUAACCUCCCUUUUUUUUUCCUUUUUGGGGGGAACUCGGAGGGAUCAUUACCGAGUUUACAACUCCCAAACCCAAUGUGAACGUUACCAAACUGUUGCCUCGGCGGGAUCUCUGCCCCGGGUGCGUCGCAGCCCCGGACCAAGGCGCCCGCCGGAGGACCAACCAAAACUCUUAUUGUAUACCCCCUCGCGGGUUUUUUACUAUCUGAGCCAUCUCGGCGCCCCUCGUGGGCGUUUCGAAAAUGAAUCAAAACUUUCAACAACGGAUCUCUUGGUUCUGGCAUCGAUGAAGAACGCAGCGAAAUGCGAUAAGUAAUGUGAAUUGCAGAAUUCAGUGAAUCAUCGAAUCUUUGAACGCACAUUGCGCCCGCCAGUAUUCUGGCGGGCAUGCCUGUCCGAGCGUCAUUUCAACCCUCGAACCCCUCCGGGGGGUCGGCGUUGGGGAUCGGCCCUUUACGGGGCCGGCCCCGAAAUACAGUGGCGGUCUCGCCGCAGCCUCUCCUGCGCAGUAGUUUGCACACUCGCAUCGGGAGCGCGGCGCGUCCACAGCCGUUAAACACCCCAAACUUCUGAAAUGUGACCUCGGAUCAGUAGGAUACCGAGGUUCC
rnacentral:rRNA from 1 species